CUUGGCCCUUGGAAACCUGCGGGUUGGCAGUGCUCUACCAGGAGGGGGCCAACUCGACAAAACCAGAGAGGGUGAAACGUCCUGCACCAGAGAGUUUCAGACAUCAGCGAUGGACUGGUUGAUUGGUAGUGUUUUUGCUGAGACUGAUGGUGGACUCCCCAUCUGAGAUCCCAGAUUCCUUCAGGUCAAAGUGCCAGGUGCUGUUCUAGGAGCUGUGUACCUACUGUUUCAAUCCUCAUAACACUCCUGUGAGGCUGGUAUCAUUGUCUGCAGACCUGUUUACAGAUGAGGACACAGAAGCCCCAUGAGGGGAAGGGAUUUGCCUCACGCCACAGUGAACAAGGGGAGGAGGCAGGAUCGGAACUCAGGGAGCCUGGCCGCGAGUCCUGCACUGCUCACAACAGGCUCCAGCUGCCCUGGUAUGAAGACAAGGGCUGUAAGGAUGAAGGCACACAAAAUGCCAAGUGAGAGCUCUGGCUACAGUCCCUCUCACCAUCUCCCAAGGCAAACCCUGCGGCUGUGGCCUUGGCUUUGCCAGAAACUGAUUCCAUGCUGCUCCCCCAGGGGACCUCGAAACUGCAGGUGUGCCAGGACAUUCCUGGCUGACAAGUGCGGGGUCGCAGGAGGGCUGGACGGCAUGCCUCUGUGUCCAUCAGCUCCUUGUGUGCGUGCGCUCAUGUACGGGGUUUAAUGAAUGAAAUGAUUAAAACCUGG
rnacentral:lncRNA from 1 species